rnacentral:lncRNA from 1 species
GGAUCCUGGGAAGAGGCGUCUCCGAAGCCGCCAUCUUAGGAAGGGAAUCGGGGGGGCAAAACAGAUUUUGAGGGUGUGGACAAUUGCGUAAUAGGGGCAUUUCAAGCUCUUUUCGUUUGUAGCCAUUGUGGUGAGCUUGAGUAUGUCUUCCCACAAGACUUUCAAGAUCAAGCGGUUUCUCGCUAAGAAGCAGAAGCAGAACCGGCCCAUCCCGCAAUGGAUCCGCAUGAAAACUGGCAAUAAAAUCAGGUACAACUCCAAAAGGAGACACUGGAGGAGGACCAAGCUCGGCCUGUAGAGAGAAGCGGCUCCAAUCUUACCGGUACAACCCUGAAUCUUGUAUCAAACUCUCAAGCGCCAGAAUGGUCUCUUCCUACCAACCUGCCACAUUAUCAGGGCUGGAAUUCUGUCUUGUGCUGUGCAGUCUCCCCCCCUUUGUAAAAAUAUUUGUUAUUACAAAUAUUAAUGAAUUAAAAACUGAAUGGUGGAGGGGGGGAAAAUAGGGGAAUUUCAACACGUUCUUCGCCUCGCCCGUAUUCUGGCCGUCUGCAAAUGAAAGCUGUGCCUUGUCCAUCUCAGCCGGGCAACUUUUUCCCCGUUUCAAAACAUGCUUCUUAGUUAACACCCCCUCCCCACACCGUCCAAAGGCUCAGAGCCCAGACAGCUGCUCCACUGAUCCUCCUCAAGAGAAGGAAGCAGUUUUUCCAUCCCCACCCAGGUCAUUGCACAUUAGCCACACACUCUCGGCUCAUCACGGCUGUCUGCUGUGGGGAGACCGCGUCGUGAUUCCCCAAAGACUCCGUCAACGUGUCCUUAAGGCUCUGCACGUUGGCCACCCGGGAAUAGUCAAAAUGAAGGCGUUGGCUCGGUGUUAUGUCUGGUGGCCUAACAUGGACGAUGCCAUCACUGCCUGGGUUUCCACCUGUCAAGCGUGCCAAGAGUCGAGGCCUGCGCCACCGGCAGCUAAGGGACACACCUGGGAGACGCCCAAGACACCCUAGUCGAGGGUGCACAUAGAUCUGGCCGGCCCCUUUCGCGGCCGGACCUUUAUGGUAGUGGUGGACGCCUAUUCCAAAUGGCUGGAGGUGGCCCUGAUGCCCUCCACCACUACCGAGGCCGUCAUCCGGGUGCUGCGAGGCCUCUUUGCGACGCAUGGGUGUCCUGAUGUCCUUGUCUCCGAGAAUGGACCACAAUUCACAUCAGGCACUUUUGAGCGGUACCUUUUGGGACUGGGCAUCCACCAUGCCCUAACAGCACCAUUUCAUCCAUCCAGCAACAGGAGAGAAUGGUGCGCUCGGCAAAAGAGGCACUGGGGCACCUGGACCGGGGAGACUAGCACGAGGGGGUUGCCGAAUACUUGUUCGUGCAACACAUCACCCCUCAUGCGGCCACAGGGCAGAGUCCUGCCGAACUGCUUAUGGGCCGCCGCCUCAGGUCCCCGCUUGACCGGCUGCACCCAGACUUUGCCGUGGCCGAACCCCCAGGCUGUGCCAACGCGCCACGGUCAUUUGUUCCAGGAAACCAGGUCUUUGCCCAGAACUUUGUGGGGGACAUUCCUUGGGUGCCAGCCACAGUACUGGGAGUCACGGGACCUCGCUCGUACCAGGUGGCACUCGAAGAUGUAAGCUUGUGGCGCCGGCACAUAGACCAGCUUAGGCGCAGGGUUGGGGACUUUGACACUACCGUGGUGCCCCCAACUGCGCUCGUGGCUCCGGAACAGACACAUACAGAUGGUGAGGCUCCACCUACACCUCUCUCACAGACUGUGGGCGUGGAGCCGAACCAAGCCACUUAAGAGGGUCUGCCGGACUUCCCACAGACUCAGACCACUGCCAUGCCUGACAUUCCGCCAACUCCACUCGCAGAGGUUACACCCACAGCAGCGGAUCCAGGGGACUUGGUUUCAACGCCACCUAGGGUUGCGCCACAGCCUCAGCAAGAAUCGGGCAGCCCACCGGACUGGACUGCUCCCCGGCAGUCUGGCAGAGUUUCCAAGUGCCCAACUUAUUUAAAGGACUAUGUUGUUGAAUAUGUAACACUGUUGGUCUAAGUAUGUGGAAGUAUGUGAAAUGUAACCGAUAUGCUUUUGUGCCUAAUUGAACCAUUACAUGUAGUGCUGUAUAUAAGGAAACCAUUACGAUUGUAACUAACGCUUUAUCUCGGUGGGGAGGGGUGUUAUGUACUGAAGUUCUCACCCUGGGCCGGCAGGGGGAUACUGUAGAUAGUUAUGCAAAUGAAGGAUCAAAAGUGACGUUCAGUGAUUGGAUGGAUACUGUAGAUAGUUAUGCAAAUGAAGGAUCGAAAGUGACGUUCAGUGAUUGGAUAGUUUUAGAAAGUUGUUACAGUAACAUGCUAUUGGAGCUCUAUAUAAGCAGGCUGACUGAGCCCUUCAGUUCAGUUCUGUUCUGGCCUCUGAAUAAAGAAGAGCUGUUUGAAGAAUUGCUGUGUCGUCUGAUAUACUUCAGUACAUAACAAUCAGAUGUAUAAAGUGUUGUCUUGAGUUGCAGGUACAUACUUACACUAGGGAAGCGAGGGAGAGAGAUUGUAAACAGUGUGAUCAGAAGGAAAUGAAAUGCCAUAAACUACAGAUAAUAAUAAUAAUUUAUUAUUUAUACCCCGCCCAUCUGGCUGGGCUUCCCCAGCCACUCUGGGCAGCUUCCAAAAAAAUAUUAAAAUACUAUAAUACAUCAAACAUUAAAAGCUUCCCUAAACAGAGCUGCCUUCAGAUGUCUUCUAAAAGUCUGGUAGUUGUUCUCUUUGACAUCUGGUGGGAGGGCGUUCCACAGGGAAGGCGCCACUACUGAGAAGGCCCUCUGCCUGGUUCUCUGUAACUUGGCUUCUCGCAGUGAGGGAACCGCCAGAAGGCCCUCGGUGCUGGACCUCAGUGUCCGGGUAGAACGAUGGGGGCGGAGACGCUCCUUCAGGUAUACUGGACCAAGGCCGUUUAGGGCUUUAAAGGUCAGCACCAACACUCUGAAUUGUGCUUGGAAACGUACUGGGAGCCAAUGUAGGUCUUUCAAGACCGGUGUUAUGUGGUCUCUGCAGCUGCACUAACAGUGGCAUUCACAUCAAAACAGUACAGUACAGUACAGUAGUAUCUCGGCUCCUGGAUGUCUUGGGAGUUGAACGUUCUGGCUCCCGAACGAUCGAAAACCGGAAGUGAGUGUUCCAGUUUUUGGAAGCCAAACGUCUGCCGUGGCUUCCACUAUUGUUUCUGGUGUGCCUGCACAAUCGGAAACCAAUUGGAAGCUGCGCCUUGGUUUCUGAACAUUUCGAAGUUGAACAGACUUCUGGAACGCAUUCCAUGUGACUUCCAAAGUAUGACUGUAAUGGAUAACACAGGCGAGCUAAUGAACACACGUAGUUUAAUAAAAACAAACCUACUGUGCCAAUUCAGACAGCAAAUUACAGCACUGAAAUGGUGCUCUCAAUGGUUUCAUGCCACAGUCUCUCCCUUUAAUUUUUCUUUGGCUACCUUAAGGUCAGUUACAGAGGGGCUGAUAGAUGGUAAUGUGUAUGUAUACAAAAGUAUACAUAAGUUCUGCAUUAUUGGCCUGAGGCUCCUGUGUUUUUAGGCUGUCAGGUGUAGGGCAGGUGGGCAUGACUUGGCCUGGAAGGCCUGGUUAGGCUCAUAAGGCCAGAGGUUUCCCACUCCUGCAUUAGUGAGUGAGGCAGUCAUCUCAGGCAGCAGAAGGUGAGCUGCAGAUAAUGGUAGUGAGAUGUUGGAGGACAGAGCUGUGCUCUCCUUGAGUUAGUCUGCUGCCCUCAAAUGUGGUGGAGAACAGUGUCCCCUUGUCAGUACUGAAAGAAGGUUCAGCUGCCAGUAUCGUAGGUUUCUGUAUGUGGAAUGGAGCAAAGGCGCCAUCUUGUUCUUUGCAUGUCUUCAGCCAGGCCAAGCCACUAUUUGUAGUUUCUUAAGAAGGGACCAGGCCAAACAUUUAAUAUAAAAUGGGAUUCUCUGUUAUAUAUCCAAGCUUAUUGGACUUGAUUUAGGAAUCUUUUUAUAGGCUGUUGGGUAAAAUGAAGCUUCCAGUCCUAUAAGUGUUAACUGCAAGAAAGCCUGAUAGAACACAAACAAAGGAUUGGACAGUGUAUGUGUGUGUGUGCGCACACACGCACGCACGCAAACACACACCUAGAUCCUUGGCAACCCAGCACAGAUUUAUGUCAGUGUAAAAUGGUAUACUAGAAUUGUAUUGUGCAUGCAUUUUUAAUAUGCCAAACAAAAAGUUACCUUAAACAGAGGAAAGGGUGAAGCAUUUCUAAAAGCGUUGCCAAAUGAGUCUGAAUGUUGCAAAAUGAGUCCUGUGAUGUGCAAGGAAAUAUUAAAGUGUAUCUGUUGCAAAGCAAGGCUCAUCAUAUUCAGUAUACCCAGGUAUGGGUGAACACACUUGCACCCUAUAUUGAUUUUGAAAUCUUUGUAAUUUCAAUAGGACUCUGAAACAAUGAAAAUGUUUCCUUUCUCCAAGGAGCCAAACAGUGAGCACAUGCAGUGGCUUUUGUAGGAAUUAAUGAUGCUUCUAAUUUUUAAUAGGUGGUGAAAGAACACCAUUUCAAGAAUCAUGACUCAGAGUGUAUAAAUAGCUUUUCUGAGAGCACAACAAAAGCAUUGUCACUGUCUUGCACAGCAGAGUCAGAGUACAUGACAGUUUAAUGGGUGUUUAGUGCAAUAAAUAGCUAAAUGCAUGUGUACCAUGAAGCAUGUGUUACUUUCCAUGAGUUUCAGAGGAGCUGGGGAUUUUUGUUGCUACUUUCAGUCUAUAAUAAUAUUAAAAUAUUCUCAAAAAUACUUGUAGGCAACCUGCAAAUAAGGCAUUGCAAAUGUGGGGAGACAGCAGGGCCUUGUCAACACUGACCCCAUUUUUCUGGAUAUUUCUGAAGCUCUAACAUGCAUGUUAACGUUAAUAGAAGCUGCAGUUUGUUUACCUUUGAAUAACUCCAAAUGAACUCAACGGGACACAAAUAGGAAUGGCUGUGAGUUACUUGGGGAAAAAUUUUGCUUGCUGUUAGUAGCUGAAAGCAAGGAGUGGGGGAAAUUCCUUUGCCCAUGGAAGCUUGCCAGGCUCCAAGUUUGUAUGCUGGUGGUAGGCAGGGGGGCCAGCUCUUGGGGGUUCAGUUCUUUUGUGACCCCAAAUAUUUUUGGAGUAGGGGCUGGGCACUGGAGUAGGGGCUGGAGUAGGGGCUGAGAGAGAGAGAGAGAGAGAGAGAGAUGUUAGCUAGUGGUGCAUUAUUUUAGUUUUGAUCUGUUUUUUAUUGUAUAUACAGUAUGUUAUGCUCUGAUUUCCCCCCAUGAAAUCGCAGUACAUAUAAUUGUUUUUAUAAAUAAAUUGUGUGUGCAUGUAUUGGG